AUAGAUCAGCCUAUCUUCGGAUAAGCUGCUUUCUUCUUAGAGGGACUUUGUGUUUUUCAGCGCAAGGAAGUUUGAGGCAAUAACAGGUCUGUGAUGCCCUUAGAUGUUCUGGGCUGCACGCGCGCUACACUGAUGCGUUCAACGAGUGUAUCACCUUGCCCGAUAGGGUUGGGUAAUCUUUUGAACACGCAUCGUGAUGGGGAUAGAUUAUUGCAAUUAUUAAUCUUCAACGAGGAAUUCCUAGUAAUGAUGAAUCAUCAGUUCAUCGUGAUUACGUCCCUGCCCUUUGUACACACCGCCCGUCGCUCCUACCGAUUGAGCAAUCCGGUGAAUACUUCGGACCGGUUACUUGGUUGGUUCGCUGACCUUGUGACUGGAAAGUCGAGUGAACCUUAUUGCUUAGAGGAAGGAGAAGUC
rnacentral:rRNA from 1 species